rnacentral:rRNA from 1 species
GAUUAAGUUAUUAAGGGCGCACGGUGGAUGCCUUGGCACUAGAAGCCGAUGAAGGACGUUACUAACGACGAUAUGCUUUGGGGAGCUGUAAGUAAGCUUUGAUCCAGAGAUUUCCGAAUGGGGAAACCCAGCAUGAGUUAUGUCAUGUUAUCGAUAUGUGAAUACAUAGCAUAUCAGAAGGCACACCCGGAGAACUGAAACAUCUUAGUACCCGGAGGAAGAGAAAGAAAAUUCGAUUCCCUUAGUAGCGGCGAGCGAAACGGGAAGAGCCCAAACCAACAAGCUUGCUUGUUGGGGUUGUAGGACACUCUAUACGGAGUUACAAAGGACGACAUUAGACGAAUCAUCUGGAAAGAUGAAUCAAAGAAGGUAAUAAUCCUGUAGUCGAAAAUGUUGUCUCUCUUGAGUGGAUCCUGAGUACGACGGAGCACGUGAAAUUCCGUCGGAAUCUGGGAGGACCAUCUCCUAAGGCUAAAUACUCUCUAGUGACCGAUAGUGAACCAGUACCGUGAGGGAAAGGUGAAAAGCACCCCGGAAGGGGAGUGAAAUAGAACCUGAAACCGUGUGCUUACAAGUAGUCAGAGCCCGUUAAUGGGUGAUGGCGUGCCUUUUGUAGAAUGAACCGGCGAGUUACGAUUUGAUGCAAGGUUAAGCAGUAAAUGUGGAGCCGUAGCGAAAGCGAGUCUGAAUAGGGCGUUUAGUAUUUGGUCGUAGACCCGAAACCAGGUGAUCUACCCUUGGUCAGGUUGAAGUUCAGGUAACACUGAAUGGAGGACCGAACCGACUUACGUUGAAAAGUGAGCGGAUGAACUGAGGGUAGCGGAGAAAUUCCAAUCGAACCUGGAGAUAGCUGGUUCUCUCCGAAAUAGCUUUAGGGCUAGCCUCAAGUGAUGAUUAUUGGAGGUAGAGCACUGUUUGGACGAGGGGCCCCUCUCGGGUUACCGAAUUCAGACAAACUCCGAAUGCCAAUUAAUUUAACUUGGGAGUCAGAACAUGGGUGAUAAGGUCCGUGUUCGAAAGGGAAACAGCCCAGACCACCAGCUAAGGUCCCAAAAUAUAUGUUAAGUGGAAAAGGAUGUGGCGUUGCCCAGACAACUAGGAUGUUGGCUUAGAAGCAGCCAUCAUUUAAAGAGUGCGUAAUAGCUCACUAGUCGAGUGACACUGCGCCGAAAAUGUACCGGGGCUAAACAUAUUACCGAAGCUGUGGAUUGUCCUUUGGACAAUGGUAGGAGAGCGUUCUAAGGGCGUUGAAGCAUGAUCGUAAGGACAUGUGGAGCGCUUAGAAGUGAGAAUGCCGGUGUGAGUAGCGAAAGACGGGUGAGAAUCCCGUCCACCGAUUGACUAAGGUUUCCAGAGGAAGGCUCGUCCGCUCUGGGUUAGUCGGGUCCUAAGCUGAGGCCGACAGGCGUAGGCGAUGGAUAACAGGUUGAUAUUCCUGUACCACCUAUAAUCGUUUUAAUCGAUGGGGGGACGCAGUAGGAUAGGCGAAGCGUGCGAUUGGAUUGCACGUCUAAGCAGUAAGGCUGAGUAUUAGGCAAAUCCGGUACUCGUUAAGGCUGAGCUGUGAUGGGGAGAAGACAUUGUGUCUUCGAGUCGUUGAUUUCACACUGCCGAGAAAAGCCUCUAGAUAGAAAAUAGGUGCCCGUACCGCAAACCGACACAGGUAGUCAAGAUGAGAAUUCUAAGGUGAGCGAGCGAACUCUCGUUAAGGAACUCGGCAAAAUGACCCCGUAACUUCGGGAGAAGGGGUGCUCUUUAGGGUUAACGCCCAGAAGAGCCGCAGUGAAUAGGCCCAAGCGACUGUUUAUCAAAAACACAGGUCUCUGCUAAACCGUAAGGUGAUGUAUAGGGGCUGACGCCUGCCCGGUGCUGGAAGGUUAAGAGGAGUGGUUAGCUUCUGCGAAGCUACGAAUCGAAGCCCCAGUAAACGGCGGCCGUAACUAUAACGGUCCUAAGGUAGCGAAAUUCCUUGUCGGGUAAGUUCCGACCCGCACGAAAGGCGUAACGAUUUGGGCACUGUCUCAACGAGAGACUCGGUGAAAUCAUAGUACCUGUGAAGAUGCAGGUUACCCGCGACAGGACGGAAAGACCCCGUGGAGCUUUACUGUAGCCUGAUAUUGAAAUUCGGCACAGCUUGUACAGGAUAGGUAGGAGCCUUUGAAACGUGAGCGCUAGCUUACGUGGAGGCGCUGGUGGGAUACUACCCUAGCUGUGUUGGCUUUCUAACCCGCACCACUUAUCGUGGUGGGAGACAGUGUCAGGCGGGCAGUUUGACUGGGGCGGUCGCCUCCUAAAAGGUAACGGAGGCGCUCAAAGGUUCCCUCAGAAUGGUUGGAAAUCAUUCAUAGAGUGUAAAGGCAUAAGGGAGCUUGACUGCGAGACCUACAAGUCGAGCAGGGUCGAAAGACGGACUUAGUGAUCCGGUGGUUCCGCAUGGAAGGGCCAUCGCUCAACGGAUAAAAGCUACCCCGGGGAUAACAGGCUUAUCUCCCCCAAGAGUUCACAUCGACGGGGAGGUUUGGCACCUCGAUGUCGGCUCAUCGCAUCCUGGGGCUGUAGUCGGUCCCAAGGGUUGGGCUGUUCGCCCAUUAAAGCGGUACGCGAGCUGGGUUCAGAACGUCGUGAGACAGUUCGGUCCCUAUCCGUCGUGGGCGUAGGAAAUUUGAGAGGAGCUGUCCUUAGUACGAGAGGACCGGGAUGGACAUACCUCUGGUGUACCAGUUGUCGUGCCAACGGCAUAGCUGGGUAGCUAUGUGUGGACGGGAUAAGUGCUGAAAGCAUCUAAGCAUGAAGCCCCCCUCAAGAUGAGAUUUCCCAACUUCGGUUAUAAGAUCCCUCAAAGAUUAUGAGGUUAAUAGGUUCGAGGUGGAAGCAUGGUGACAUGUGGAGCUGACGAAUACUAAUCGAUCGAAGACUUAAUCAA